rnacentral:rRNA from 1 species
GUGAACGCUGGCGGUAGGCCUAACACAUGCAAGUCGAACGGCAGCACAGUAAGCGCUUGCUCUUACGGGUGGCGAGUGGCGGACGGGUGAGGAAUACAUCGGAAUCUACUUUUUCGUGGGGGAUAACGUAGGGAAACUUACGCUAAUACCGCAUACGACCUACGGGUGAAAGCAGGGGAUCUUCGGACCUUGCGCGAUUGAAUGAGCCGAGGUCGGAUUAGCUAGUUGGCGGGGUAAAGGCCCACCAAGGCGACGAUCCGUAGCUGGUCUGAGAGGAUGAUCAGCCACACUGGAACUGAGACACGGUCCAGACUCCUACGGGAGGCAGCAGUGGGGAAUAUUGGACAAUGGGCGCAAGCCUGAUCCAGCCAUACCGCGUGGGUGAAGAAGGCCUUCGGGUUGUAAAGCCCUUUUGUUGGGAAAGAAAAGCAGCAGGUUAAUACCCCGCUGUUCUGACGGUACCCAAAGAAUAAGCACCGGCUAACUUCGUG